UACGUAGGGUGCAAGCGUUGUCCGGAAUUAUUGGGCGUAAAGAGCUCGUAGGCGGUUUGUCGCGUCUGCUGUGAAAACGCGGGGCUCAACCCCGCGCCUGCAGUGGGUACGGGCAGACUAGAGUGCAGUAGGGGAGACUGGAAUUCCUGGUGUAGCGGUGGAAUGCGCAGAUAUCAGGAGGAACACCGGUGGCGAAGGCGGGUCUCUGGGCUGUAACUGACGCUGAGGAGCGAAAGCGUGGGGAGCGAACAGG
rnacentral:rRNA from 1 species